CGAACGGGUGAGUAACACGUGGGCAACCUGCCCAAAAGAGGGGGAUAACACUUGGAAACAGGUGCUAAUACCGCAUAACCAUAGUUACCGCAUGGUAACUAUGUAAAAGGUGGCUAUGCUACCGCUUUUGGAUGGGCCCGCGCGCAUUAGCUAGUUGGUGGGGUAAAGGCUUACCAAGGCAAUGAUGCGUAGCCGAACUGAGAGGUUGAUCGGCCACAUUGGGACUGAGACACGGCCCAAACUCCUACGGGAGGCAGCAG
rnacentral:rRNA from 1 species